AUGAAAACCCCCCCAGCAGAUUCCCGACAAACUCACAGCUCCCGCCGUCUCCUCCGCUCCUCUGUCGCGCCGGAGGUCCGCUCCCCCGCAUCUCAGCUCCUCCGCAGCUUGCCCGCAGCGGCUCCCCCGCAGCUCCCCGCAUCGCCGGAGCUCUCCCGCACCACGCCUCCCCCACCCCACGCCUCCGACGCAGCUUCCCUCUCCUUGUUCCCCUCCUCGUUCCCCAUGGUGAUCCUCGACGAGGAGAAGACUGAUUUUUUCUUUCGAUCUGCUCGGCGGCGGCCAUAUCCAGGUCCUCCUCGGCGCUGCGGCGAAGCUCCACCACCGCCAAAGCUCGCCGCCUCCUCCGCCGCUCUCUCAUGCUCGCGCAGCUCCAGCUUGCCUUCCUCCCCUAGCUUCCCCCCUUCCUAG
rnacentral:rRNA from 1 species